rnacentral:rRNA from 1 species
UACAGAGGUCCCGAGCGUUGUUCGGAUUCACUGGGCGUAAAGGGUGCGUAGGUGGUGAGGUAAGUCGGAUGUGAAAUCUCCAAGCUCAACUUGGAAAUGGCAUUGGAAACUACCUUGCUGGAGGUUUGGAGGGGGGACUGGAAUUCUCGGUGUAGCAGUGAAAUGCGUAGAUAUCGAGAGGAACACCUGCGGCGAAGGCGGGUUGCUGGGCCGACACUGACGCUGAUGCGCGAAAGCCAGGGGAGCGAACGGG